GCAAGAAGUCUCCACUGCCCUCACUUCCCUAUAAAGGAGAAACGGCAAAAGCCCCACAAACCUGAGUCCCACAGGGGGUCCGGUCCCAGAAGCCCCAGUCCCAGGUCGCCGUGGGACCUGCCCCUGCCUGGUGUCCCGCUGCCUGGCGCUCACCCUGCCCUGGACCGCGGUGCAGCCUCCGCAUCUGGGAGGAAAAAACUGCGGCGGGCAGGCGAGCCGGGGCGGGGACCGCGCCGCGGUGGCUGCUCUGCGGCUCGGAACGGGGCCCAGGCUCGGGCCUUACCAGGGCCCCAGCCCCGCCGCGCUCCUCCCCUCCCCCUCCCUCAAUCCCACCUCGAGUCCCGCGCCCUUAAAGGAAGUCCAUGGCUUUGCCCGGUCACCAACAGGGUGUCGGCCGGCCCCUUCUGUGCUACGGUGCGGCCGACUUGGGCUCUUCAGGACACCGCCACGUCCUCUGGGUGGGCGCCCGUCGCCUCCUCCCCGGGGUUGACCCCACGGGUCUCCGGGCGAUUCUUCCCUAGUCUUUCCAGCCCGUGGGCGGCGGCGGCGGCGGCGGCGGCGCGGAGUGUCGCGGAGCUGUCCCCGCAGAGCCCUCCCGGGGCGGCGAUCCGGUCCCCGCGCCGCCUCCGGCGUCUCCCCAGCCUGGCCUCCGCCGAGCCGGCUGCGGUCCACGUGGCUCCGGAGCUCGCAGGAAGCCCCGAGCGAGCCGAAAGCCGAGCCGAGAGCGGGCGGAGGGGGCGCGGGAGGGGGGGGGGGGAGCGGGCCCGGGGGGCGGGCACUGGGCGGAGGAAGGGGAGGGCCGCGCGCAGCCCAGGCGCCCGCCCCGCUCCGGCGCGCCCCGCUCCCGGCCCCGGCCGGCCAGGGAAGCGGCCCCUCCCCGGCCGCCCGCCGGCCCCUCCCGUUACACCCGGGGGAAGGUGUUCCCGAGACCGCUCCCAUCCUCACCCCGCCUCCCCGCUUCCCCGGCUCCAGCCUCCGCCGGCGGAGCUCCACUAUGCCAGACAGUUUCGACACUUUGCAAAGACAAAGACCAGAGGGAGGAGGAAGAGGAGGACAGGGAGGGCGAGGAGGAGGAGGGAGAGGAGGACGGCGCGAUGUGAGCCGGGAAGGGGGCCAGUGCUCGGGACAACCCCCCCUUUAGUCUCCCCGGAGCCCCUCAUCUCCAAAGCCGCCGAAACUCCAGCGUGUCUCCGGCUGCGAUGUGGAAACUGAGGCUCCGCGAAGUGAAGCCGCUUGCCCGAAGUCCCACAGCUAGAAAAGUGGCAAUUCCUAACUGCUCCGUUUCUGCCCGAAGCCCAAGAUCUCAGGCCUCAUGUUGUGUAAUUCCCAGGAUCAUCUGGUGUCUCUACAUCGGGGGGGCCGGCAAGGGUAGAAAUAGACUCCCUCAGAGGUGCAGAUAUAGAGCACAUCGCACGGACAUCUGUCCCCAAGCCCGCCCAAGCUGCGUGCCAUCCCACCCAAUGGCCACGGCAAAGGGACCCAGGUUCCGUAGCCUCUUCUUUGGCGGGAGGGCGGUCCUGAUUGUCCUCUGCACGCUGUGUCCCAACGGGUGGGGCUCCAAGGUUUUUUCCCUGCUUCACCAUUUGGUGCCGGCUGGAUGGGUUUAUCGAGCUAACCUUGAUAGACUUGCCGGAUUUUUCUGCCUCCGUGUCGGACCCUGUGUUGCUGAUGGCAAGCACCCUUCCUUUGGGUUGUACUCAUACAUUGAAUUCUGAGAUCCCCAUG
rnacentral:lncRNA from 1 species